rnacentral:rRNA from 1 species
GACGAACGCUGGCGGCGUGCCUAAUACAUGCAAGUCGAACGCAGUGGGGACGGGUGAGUAACACGUGGGUAACCUCCCAUCAGAGGGGAUAACACUUGGAAACAGGUGCUAAACCGAUACUGAUGGAUGGACCCGCGGUGCAUUAGCUAGUUGGUGAGGUAACGGCUCACCAAGGCCACGAUGCAUAGCGGACCGGAGAGGGGUACCGGCCAAACUGGAACUGAGACACGGCCCAGACUCCUACGGGAGGCAGCAUUAGGGAAUUUUGGACAAUGGACGAAAGUCUGACCGAGCAACGCCGCGUGAGUGAAGAAGGUUUUCGGAUCGUAAAACUCUGUUGUUGGGGAAUCGGUAUCUAACCAGAAAGCCACGGCUAACUACGUGCCAGCCGCCGCGGUAAUAC